AAGUUUAGCUAAUGUUGCCCGUACCGUAAACCGACACAGGUGGGUGGGAUGAGUAUUCUAAGGCGCGUGGAAGAACUCUCUUUAAGGAACUCUGCAAAAUAGCACCGUAUCUUCGGUAUAAGGUGUGGUUAGCUUUGUAUUAGGAUUUACUCCGAAAGCAAGGAAACUUACAACAAAGAGUCCCUCCCGACUGUUUACCAAAAACACAGCACUCUGCUAACUCGUAAGAGGAUGUAUAGGGUGUGACGCCUGCCCGGUGCUCGAAGGUUAAUUGAUGGGGUUAGCAUUAGCGAAGCUCUUGAUCGAAGCCCGAGUAAACGGCGGCCGUAACUAUAACGGUCCUAAGGUAGCGAAAUUCCUUGUCGGUUAAAUACCGACCUGCAUGAAUGGCGUAACGAGAUGGGAGCUGUCUCAAAGAGGGAUCCAGUGAAAUUGUAGUGGAGGUGAAAAUUCCUCCUACCCGCGGCAAGACGGAAAGACCCCGUGGACCUUUACUACAGCUUGACACUGCUAUUUGGAUAAGAAUGUGCAGGAUAGGUGGGAGGCUUUGAGUAUAUGACGCCAGUUGUAUAUGAGCCAUUGUUGAGAUACCACUCUUUCUUAUUUGGGUAGCUAACCAGCUUGAGUUAUCCUCAAGUGGGACAAUGUCUGGUGGGUAGUUUGACUGGGGCGGUCGCCUCCCAAAUAAUAACGGAGGCUUACAAAGGUUGGCUCAGAACGGUUGGAAAUCGUUCGUAGAGUAUAAAGGUAUAAGCCAGCUUAACUGCAAGACAUACAAGUCAAGCAGAGACGAAAGUCGGUCUUAGUGAUCCGGUGGUUCUGUGUGGAAGGGCCAUCGCUCAAAGGAUAAAAGGUACCCCGGGGAUAACAGGCUGAUCUCCCCCAAGAGCUCACAUCGACGGGGAGGUUUGGCACCUCGAUGUCGGCUCAUCGCAUCCUGGGGCUGGAGCAGGUCCCAAGGGUAUGGCUGUUCGCCAUUUAAAGCGGUACGCGAGCUGGGUUCAGAACGUCGUGAGACAGUUCGGUCCCUAUCUGCCGUGGGCGUAAGAAGAUUGAAGAGAUUUGACCCUAGUACGAGAGGACCGGGUUGAACAAACCACUGGUGUAGCUGUUGUUCUGCCAAGAGCAUCGCAGCGUAGCUAAGUUUGGAAAGGAUAAACGCUGAAAGCAUCUAAGCGUGAAGCCAACUCUAAGAUGAAUCUUCUCUAAGCUCUCUAGAAGACUACUAGUUUGAUAGGCUGGGUGUGUAAUGGAUGAAAGUCCUUUAGCUGACCAGUACUAAUAGAGCGUUUGGCUUAUCUUUAAUAAAGCAU
rnacentral:rRNA from 1 species